AGGUCUCCUGGGAGUCUGUGGAUAUAGUGCUCCAAAGACGGGCAGGAGACUGUGGAGGCAGGGCACGGCUGAAGCAACCUUUGGGGAACUCCGUAUCUCAUGCCCAGAAAUUGGAAUAUCGCCCCUAGGUCUAAGUGAGCAGAGCCUGGACAACCUCAAAAUAGCAGGUGACUUCCAAAUAGUGGAUCUUCAUUAGCAGCCUGAGCCCUUACCCGGCUCCAAAAUGAGCCUCUGCAUCCCAGAAGAAUCAGCAGGAGAAAAGACCAGCAAGCAGGAAAAUGGGUGAUCCACCAUCCACCCUUCUCCACCUGCUCUGGGCCCCAGGAGACUGACCUGGAUGGACAGUCUCAGAUUCCGGGUGGCUUUGGCCAGUGGGGAACCACAGCAGAAAAUGAGAGGGAAGGAGAGGAAGGAUUGGUGUCACGGGCUGGAUUCUUACGUGGAAACCCUCACCCCCAGCACCUCAGAAUGACUGUGUUUGGAGAUAGAAACUUUAAAGAGGUGAUCAAGCACAACUGGGGCUGCUUGGGUGGGGCCCUAACCCAGUCUAACGGGUAUCUGGACAAGAAGAGGAUGUGUGGAUGCAGAGAGACUCCAGGGGCACGUAUGUGCCCACGGAGGGAAGACCACAUGAGGACACAGCGAGAAGCUGGCCAUCCACAAGCCAAAGAAAGAGACGGCCCCCGAAGCCGGCCCUACCAACGCCAAAUAGUAACCAAGAUUUCCUUCCCAUUCAUUUCUUCCUGUGUCUUGGCCCUUUGACCAUUUGGCCAAUAAAGAUAGUUUGCAAUUUUUGCUUCAUGGAAGGGAUGACACAAAAGGAAUCAGAGGAAAGGGGACUUGUUUCUUUGCUUUUGAGUUUCCAAACUCUAUCCCACAGCAGGAUGGAAAUCAUUCAAACAGGAAUAACAGAUAAGGAAAUGUACCACGGACUCUGUAGCCUGAGCUGGUAGAGAUUUUUCUGGCUUCGAGGUGAGGAUAGGAAAUGAGUGGGAGAAUGAUGUCCACCCUGAAAAAGGAGACUCUGCCCCCUCCUUCCUGGACACACAGCUUCCUGGACUUGGCUGGUUCUGGUUGGGACAGAAGUGACCCCACGCUGAUUGCUGAGGCCCUGGGACUAGCUGAAGGUGUCGCUGGCAGACCUCACUGGCAGCCUGCAUCAGGCAUCUUGCUAGGAGGAUUGUAUUUAGACCAGAGUGUAGGAAGAUCUUGAAACCCAGCUCUGAGGCAGAGGCAGCAUGAUUG